ACACAGCGCUGCCAAAAGAAAAAACGAAAGGAAGAAACAGCCAGAAACAGGCAGGCAGGCAAGCCUCCAAGGACUUUACAGGCGUUAACUCAUUUAACCGUCCGGACAGCCCAGGACUUGGUUACUGCCACCGCCAUCCUCAUGUGCUAGAUGGGUCAGCUCAGGCACAGAGAGGCCAAGCAGGUGACCAUGGAAGGCCUCAUAGACAAGGUGACUCUUGAGGAAAGUCUGGAAGGAAGUGAGGAAGCAAUGCUGGGAACACAGAGCUGGGUCAGACCUUGCACACCACCACCACCCCCUCCCGAAAGGAGCUGCCAGUCUGGGGGCGGGGGUGACAACUGGGCAAACAGAGGAUCUCAAUCCAGUGGGGGAAGGGCUGAGACGCAAGCCCAGGGAGCUGCAAGCCCAGGGAGCUGCAGGAGCGCCCAAGGACACAUCAGGGUAGCCUGAGGGGAUGGGGCGGGGUGGGGGUGGGUAUGAACAGCUGGGAGGCACAAAGGGGUGAUGGAGGGCCCGGGGGCCAGGGAUGGACCACGAAGGGGCGGAGGGGCUCCAGCACCUGGCGGAGGGGCUGGGACUUUGUCCUCAGGGUGCUGAGAGUGGCGGGAUGAGGAGGAGGGGAGGGGCAUGGUCAGCCCUGGGGGCAGGAAGCCCCCCACACGCAGACUGGGAGGGGAUGGACUGGAGGGGAGAGACUGGGGAACCAGGAGGAGACAGCGGUGAGGGUUCAGGUAGAAGAAGAUGAAGCCUGACCUGCUGGAGAAGGGCAGAGAGAUGCAGAGGGCAGGGGGGACGGGGCUGAGAAAUGAAAGGCUAUGGGAGAUGAGGGAAGGAGGGCUGGGGUGGCGCCCGGGUUGGCAGCGUUUGAAUCACUUGUUUCAGACACAUCCAGGGAGGUGCCCUGGGGCGCUGUGGAAGGGGCAGGCCCUGCCGACACUGCAGAAGAAGGACAGGAGCUCAUGUCAGGACGAGUUCACACUUCCCCAUUCAGCACAAACACCAGAGGCACCCAUGGGCCAGGUCCUGGGCUGGGCGAUGCUGGGACCCAGAGCUGAGUCAAAUGUGAGCCUGUCUGGCGGGGGAGACAGAUAUGACCCCAGACAUCUCAGGCCAAGGCCCAGGGCUGGGGCAGGGGGAGGCUACGGGAGCCCAAAGGGACAGUCAGAGUGGGAAGGAAAACAGAAGAAUCGGGUCCCAGGACCCCAAGACGAGCUUGUCCCCCAAACAAGCAACCCCCCCCGCCACACGCUGCCAGAGCUGUCAUUAGGCCAAGUGGCUGCUGAGUGAGAGCAGAACUUGGUUGCAUUUUGACUCGACUGCGGCUGUCUAGCCAGGUGAUCCGGCAGCUAACAGAACCUCCACAGGACUGUGUCCUCACCUGUCCAACAGGAUUAAUAAUAUCUAAACAGGGGAACUCCCUGGCGGUCCAGUGAUGCAGACUCUGCGCUUUCACUGCCGUGGCCCGGAUAAAAUCUCUAGUUGGGGAACUAAGAUCGCACAAGGCACGCAGCGUGGCCAAAAAAAAAAAAAAAAAAAUCUAGACGGUAUUGCAAGGACUGAAUAGAUUCAUCUCCAGCAAGGACCCAGAACGCUGCCUCGUGCAUAGUGAGGACCCACUAAAUGUAGCACUUGCUGCCCAGGCAAUAUCGCCACAGGCCCUGGUGGGCGAAGGCCCCCGACAGCCGGUACUGCAUCCAGUGGUCUGUCGCCGUGGCCACCACCAGGAGGAUGGUCCCCACCCAGGCACAGAAGAGGCCACCACCCAUGAAGCUGUACAUGGUGAUCUGUGGACAGACAGACAGACAGCUCUGCCACAGCUUCAGCAUCCCACAGAAGGCGGUUCCCGUUCCAGGCUGCCUCCCUCGCGGUGUGUUUUGGCAAAUCAUUUUGCCACUCCGAACCUUACUUUUUCAUACCAAGAGAUAG